GUGCUAGGAAUCCCUGAAAUCAUACGAAGGAUAAAGAUGUAAUUUGUCCCAUUUUAACAGGUGCAACAAAGCUAACUGGAGAGUCAGCACACACUCAUGCAGCCCUGAGGAGAGCUCUGAUCAGCCAAAUGCACCAGUUGUUGGAAACAUGGCUGUGGCAGUUUGCUGGUUAACAUGAGCAACCGCUGCUGGUAAGACGAGACAAGUCACUGGAGUAGAGUGCCGCCACUGCCGCCGGUUACCUUGGAGAUGAGCUCGUCAUGG